UUUCCAAAGCAGAAUUCACCCAGCUAGUUAAAGCAGAAGGGUUUAGUAAGCCACUAGUCUGUACUUGGCUGUGUCAACUUGGUUAGGCUGGAACUACAUUUCCCAGAAUCCCUCUCUCUCUCAGUGGGUCUAAGUUAGCACUGACCCGCAAGAGCAACUCAGGUGAGUGAGACUUUUGAAGGCGGAAGGGAAGAGCAGCCUCUACUUGUGCAAGUUCGCUGCGUUUUGAUGUGGUGACAAAGAGCAGCAGAUGUGCCAGCAGUCUCCAGCGUGUCCCUGCUGUCCUCCAGGUCUUCCUCCUGACUCGGCAUCAGCACCUGUCCCUGGACGCCUGGUUGCAGAGGAGUUGCACCAAUUUCAACUUCCACCAGCAAAGCACGAGGGGGCCCACAGCUCCACCAGUACUGAAGAAAAUCUUACUUAGAUGCUCCUGUGUCUUCAACCCUCCCCAACACUCACGCAUCUCCAUCUUAUCAGGGGAAGGGACUGAGGCACAGAGGGGUCCUGCCUGACUCCAGAGAAAAAACCUGACUGCAUGUUUAUCAUCGGAAAAUUUGACCACUGGCUAAAACUGUUGCCUGUCCAACAGCCAUCUUCCACUUCCCACUUGCAGAACACAGAAUUUGGCAGCACCAUACCCCAGAGUUUGGAGCGAUCACGUUAUAGCUGCAGCACCUCCCUGGCUUCGUGAGCAGUGGAAACCACGCAGCAGUGUCCCCUGUGUGUGCCUGGUCACAUCCUCAGUGCCAGAUUUUCUGCCCAAAUGUGGACAUGCUGAAGCACACGUCACUAAUUUCACUUCAGGAGAACAAAUGGGUCAUGUCCAAACACCUGCUUACUCCGCUCUAACCAACCCCCUCUGACUGGCGAGAAGGUGGGCGAACAGCAGCCACUGCUCCAUGGAUGUCCCGUCAGUCUCCAAGUGGCAACUGGAGGCAGGCUGUGCUCUGACUGAGGGCUGAGAGCCCUGUCUGUCCUCACUGUGGGAUGCCCGGUGCCUGCAACAGGGUGCACACAGUAGGUGUUCAGCUGGCGGAGCUACACCACAGCUGGGUAGUCUGUGAUCAAGCACCAAUCACACAGGUGUCUGGGCAGCAGGAUAAAUCCGGGGGCACUGAAUUCAGAUCUCAGCUCAUCCCGACUGCGUCAGCAAGGUCGGGACCCAUCAGCAGAACGGGAAGAGCACUAAUAAUGGCAGCUGUCACUCAGCACGGCUUCCUCCGUGCUGGCACCUGCAGAGCGCUUCCCCACGGCAGGAUUUCUUGGCCUCGGGGUUCCUGAGAUUUGGGGCUAAGCCUUUGCUCUGGGGCCUCCCGCCAGCAUGCAGGGGUGUUCAGCAGCAUCUCUGGUCCCUACCGGCUCCGUGCCGGCACCACCUCCUCCAGUUAGAGAGCGAAACACACCCGUGGACGUUGCCAGCGCUCCUUUGGGGGCAAACUGCCCCCACCCCUGCCCCCUGGGAACCACUGACGUACAGAAAUUCAUUCCACUGUCACCAUAAUCCUUAUGAAAGUGGAAUUAAUGUAAUUCCCAUUUUAAAGACAGAGCCACUGAGGCCCAGGGCGCUGUUGGUAAGAAUGGUAAAUGGUGCAGCUGCUGGGGAAAAGAGGACGGCAGUUCCUCAGGAAAACUGCAAACUGAACUACCCUGUGAUGUAGAAAUUCCAUGUCUGGUAUACGCCCCUAAAACACUGCGGGCAGUCUUCAAGAGACAUUUGUCCACCUGUGAAUGGGCACAGCAGCAUUAUCCACAACAGCCGAAGGGUGGAAGCAGCCCUCAUGUGCCCUGGAUAAGCAAAAUGCGGCCUAUACAUACAAGGAAAUAUUGCUCAGCCUUACAAAGGGAAUUCUGGUACCUGCUACAACAUGAAUAAAUCCUGAAGCCAUCCUAAGCAAAAUAAGUUGGUUACAAAAAGGUAAUUAUUGCAUGAUUCUGCCUUUUUUUUUUUUGCUUUUUAGGGCCACACCCGUGGCAUAUGGAGGUUCCUGGACUAGGGGUCAAAUUAGAGCUACAGCUGCUGGCCUACAUCACAGCUCAUGAUG